AAAAAAGCUGAACAAAAAUAUAACGUUAACCAACAAAAACUAGAAUAUAUGAACAAAAUCUUUCAGCAAAUCAAAAACCAGAAGCAGCAAACAGACAUUUGAAGCAACAGUUUCCACAAAAUACACCAACUCCAACACUCCUCCACAAUCAAGAAAGAUUUCACAAUGGGAACGGCCUUUAAAAUGUUUGGACAAAGAAUCCCACAAAGAAACAAAAAAUAUAAAUUCUAUCCCGAUUUGACCUCCAAACCAUCCUCCUUUUCUAAAAGAUAUUCUUGUCCCAUGCCAUUCCUAAACCCUUAACCCCUUCAGGCCUUCACCCAUGAAAACCCCUGCCAACACAGCAGUUUCUAGAUAAAACUCAGACCAAACAGAACACCUGCAGCAAUCGGAGACAAAUCUGACUAAUGAACAUGUAGUGCAGAAAAAUAUGGUCUGCAUUCUCCUCAUCCAGUUUACACCACACACCAAUGUGGAGAUAAUCACGCAAAGGAUCUUCUCUAGAACAUGUCACAGGUAUUUAGAGCUUUCCAAAUCAACCAGCCAAGAGAAUUUGCACCUAAUCUGGCACACCGGCCAUCCAGAUUAUCUUAAAUCGGUCAGAGGAGGGUCCAGUUGUUCUGUAACCAAUUGAAAGGAGAAGCUGACUGGACCAUGGUCCUUGGUCAACUAGACACGAGCCCAAGGAGACAUUACUUAUAAGAAAGGACAAGUCUGCAAUUACUUUGAGCUCCCUAGCUUUGAGGUUUAUAGGAAUUUGUAAGUUCCAUGAAAUAACUACAAGUGCAGAGAACUGCCACUGAAGGGAUAGACGCUUUCAAUUCAAAGAAGAUCGAUAGAAGGUAGGAAAUAAAUGUUGGAAAGAGGACUUAACCAACCAAAUACCUUCCCCAAAUCUGACUCUCUUCCCAUAAUCAAUCACAAUAAGAUUCAAAAAAGAGAAGAAUAAAAUAAAUAAAGCUAUAAGGUAAGACAAUCAGAAACUAACAAAAGAAAUAAGAGCGCAAAAAUAGAUAG
rnacentral:lncRNA from 1 species